GAGUUUGAUCCUGGCUCAGGAUGAACGCUAGCGGCGUGCCUAACACAUGCAAGUCGAACGUGAGGAAGCCUUCGGGCUUCUGAAAGUGGCGGACGGGUGAGUAAGUCGUAGGUGACCUGCCUUCAAGUGGGGGAUAACCAUUAGAAAUGAUGGCUAAUACCGCAUGGUUUUGUGGAUUUGGGAAAGUCGACAAACAAAGCUCAGGCGCUUGAAGAGGGGCCUACGUCCGAUUAGGUAGUUGGUGGGGUAAAGGCUCACCAAGCCAAUGAUCGGUAGCUGGUCUGAGAGGACGAUCAGCCACACGGGAACUGAGACACGGUCCCGA
rnacentral:rRNA from 1 species